rnacentral:rRNA from 1 species
CGGCACUCAGGCAACUGAGUGCCGGAGAGUAAAGUGGCGAACGGGUGAGUAACGCGUGGGUAAUCUGCCCUUGAAUCCGGAAUAACUCCGCGAAAGCGGGAUUAAUACCGGGUAAUGUUCCGAAGGCGACGGUCUUUGGAAUGAAAGGUGACCUCUUCAUGAAAGUUGCCGUUCAGGGACGAGCCCGCGUACCAUUAACUUGUUGGUGGGGUAAUGGCCUACCAAGGCGACGAUGGUUAGCUGGUCUGAGAGGAUGAUCAGCCACACUGGCACUGAAACACGGGCCAGACUCCUACGGGAGGCAGCAGUGAGGAAUUUUGCGCAAUGGGGGAAACCCUGACGCAGCAACGCCGUGUGAGUGAAGAAGGCUUUCGGGUCGUAAAGCUCUGUCAAGUGGGAAAAAAUGCCUUCGGUGACAAGUCGAAGGAGUUGAUGGUACCACUGGAGGAAGCACCGGCUAACUCCGUGCCAGCAGCCGCGGUAAUACGGAGGGUGCAAGCGUUGUUCGGAAUUACUGGGCGUAAAGGGCGUGCAGGCGGUUUGGAAAGUCAGAUGUGAAAGCCCUGGGCUCAACCCAGGAAGUGCAUUUGAAACUGCCUUACUCGAGUAUGGGAGAGGGGAGUGGAAUUCCCGGUGUAGAGGUGAAAUUCGUAGAUAUUGGGAGGAACACCCGUGGCGAAGGCGACUCCCUGGCCCAAUACUGACGCUGAGACGCGAAAGCGUGGGGAGCAAACAGGAUUAGAUACCCUGGUAGUCCACGCUGUAAACGAUGAGAACUAGGUGUAGCGGGUAUUGACCCCUGCUGUGCCGCAGCUAACGCAUUAAGUUCUCCGCCUGGGGAGUACGGCCGCAAGGCUAAAACUCAAAGGAAUUGACGGGGGCCCGCACAAGCGGUGGAGCAUGUGGUUUAAUUCGACGCAACGCGAAGAACCUUACCUGGGCUUGACAUCCUCUGACCGCCCUGGAAACAGGGUUUUCCCGACUCUGUCGGGACAGAGUGACAGGUGCUGCAUGGCUGUCGUCAGCUCGUGUCGUGAGAUGUUGGGUUAAGUCCCGCAACGAGCGCAACCCUUGUCUUUAGUUGCCAGUAUUAAGUUAGGCACUCUAAAGAGACUGCCUCGGUUAACGAGGAGGAAGGUGGGGAUGACGUCAAGUCCUCAUGGCCUUUAUGCCCAGGGCUACACACGUGCUACAAUGGACGGCACAAAGGGUCGCUAAUCCGCGAGGAGGAGCUAAUCCCAAAAAGCCGUUCACAGUUCGGAUCGAAGUCUGCAACUCGACUUCGUGAAGGUGGAAUCGCUAGUAAUCGUGGAUCAGCAUGCCACGGUGAAUGCGUUCCCGGGCCUUGUACACACCGCCCGUCACACCACGAAAGUCGACUGUACCAGAAGUUACUGGGCUAACCCGGCACUCAACUCUGGAUUCAAGAUCGUAUUUUAGAAAGUGUAAUUAUAUGAUGUGUUUUUUGAAUUUGGGGUUGAGUGCCGGGAGGCAGGUGCCUAAGGUACGGCCGGUAAUUGGGGUGAAGUCGUAACAAGGUAA